UUGGCUGCUAACAAUUGAAUAUUAAAUUGAAUAUUAUUAUUACUUACUUUAUUCAUUAAACAUGAAACUCAGUCAACUGAACAUUCAAAAAUGCAUCACAAGUACCAUUGACUGGUGCUAAUAGUUGAUACGGAUUGCUGCCAGUGUCCUAGGUAUCAACCAAGUACCUUCUUAAGAUGUACAAUGUUCCAAGUAGCACAGUUUUUUGCAGUUCUGCGGGUGUUAUUGCACGAAGCUGCAAUAUUAUUGCAUUGUUAUUAUUGUUGUUAUUAUUAUCAUCAUCAGGCGAUAUAUAAAAAUUAUAUUGCUGGAUUCAUUUAAAAGUCUGUAUAAUUUUCACAAAUUCAAUUAAUGGAAUGUAACUUAAAUGGAUUAUAAUGUCACCAAACAUUAUCUAUAAUUCCAUUUCUUCAUGAUUAGUUAAAAUAGAUUAAAAAGAAAUCCAGUGCUAUAAAGGGUUGGAUGAGAAGCAAAACGUCUUCAAGGAAAAAUGAAGAAAUGACACUUGGGAAUUUUGUGGUGAGAAUUUUGCUCAUCUGAAAGAAAUACUGAAGGAGCAAACUUAAGAAGUAUUUUUUCCACUGAAAAAAAUAAUAAUAACAGUCAAUUAUGUUUGCUGAAAGUUUUCUGCAGCACCU